GGAAUUAGAUUCAGACCUAACACAUGCAAGUCGAACGGUUCCUUCGGGGACAGUGGCAGACGGGUGAGUAACGCGUGGGAAUCUACCUAUUUCUGCGGAAUAACACAGGGAAACUUGUGCUAAUACCGCAUACGCCUCGUGAGAGGGAAAGAUUUAUCGGAGAUAGAUGAGCCCGCGUAUGAUUAGCUAGUUGGUGGGGUAAUGGCCUACCAAGGCGACGAUCAGUAGCUGGUCUGAGAGGAUGAUCAGCCACACUGGGAGUGAGACACGGCCCAGACUCCUACGGGAGGCAGCAGUGGGGAAUAUUGGACAGGGGGGGCAACCCUGAUCCAGCCAUGCCGCGUGAUUAAAGGAGGCCCUAGGGUUGUAAAGCUCUUUCACCGGAGAAGAUAAUGAC
rnacentral:rRNA from 1 species